AGAAUUGAGCGGAAAAGGGCAGUGAUGUUUUUUACUCACGACCUCAGGUGUCCUCACAAACAUGGGCAGGACUGUGCUGUAGAGUACCAAGCAAAGUUUUCCAAGGCAGGUUGUCUGUGCAAGAGGGAAGUACCUGGGCUGGAUUUGAGGCAGAUGGAUUAAAAUCUAGGCGCUCUGUGGAGCACAUGGAGCAGCUUCCUUGCUUAUGCAUUCCCUAACAGAGGAACUGAGGUCAGGACAAGCACCAGUAUGGCUGGAAAAGAUCAUUCCCAGUGCUGGACUGAGGGCACAGCUACUGCUGAAUUUGCUCCUUGGGAACAUUCAACACAUCCAUAUUGGGGAUUUUAUUUGGAACUGGAGAGAAAAUACAAUCCUAGUGCAUUUUACGCCCUCUUGGAUCAAGGGCUGGAUGAAUUUUCUAUCUUCCCCUGCAGUAGUUUCAGGAAAUGUUGUUUUGUUUCUGGUGAUGCUCCAUCAGAGCUGCUCUGAGGAGGUACUCUGGCUGACACUCAGCUCCAGCCUUGGAGCCUGCUCAGGAACCAUUCCUGCCAAAUGCCUGGCCACUGAGUCCCUGCUCCCCAGCACCAAGAACUGGCUCCUUGCAAGGUGGGGAACUGCUGGGGGAGGGAAGCAUUUCAUGAAUCACAACUCCCACGCCUUUGCAUACCCACAACUGCCCAGCCAAAAUACUUCCACCCUUAUUCACACCAGAUCCCACCUUUACUCCAGAAUCUUUUCCAUCUGUCCUGCAGGCUGCCGUGCAAAAGGGAGAGGAGAGAAUCCAGGGCUUCUCUGAAAAGACAGAGAGCUGACUUGAAGCCAAUAAAUGUGUAUGCCUGCAUCCAGUGGCCCCUGAUCUCCCCUGUUCCUGCUGCCACUGCCAUCACCAACACAGGUGACAGCAGGAAGAGGAUGGAUUUACCAGUCCAAGCUGUAGGAAUAUCUUUCAGCUGGACAAG